GGACGGUAAGUCUGGUGCCAGCAGCCGCGGUAAUUCCAGCUCCAAUAGCGUAUAUUAAACUUGUUGCAGUUAAAAAGCUCGUAGUUGAAUUUCGGGGUUAGUAGGUUGGUCAUGCCUCUGGUAUGUACUGAUCUCACUGAUUCCUCCUUCCUUAUGAACCGUAAUGCCAUUAAUUUGGUGUUGCGGGGAAUUUGGACUGUUACUUUGAAAAAAUUAGAGUGUUUAAAGCAGGC
rnacentral:rRNA from 1 species